AUACGGAGGGUGCAAGCGUUAAUCGGAAUUACUGGGCGUAACGCGCGCGUAGGCGGAUAUUUAAGUCUCAUGUGAAAGCCCUGGGCUCAACCUGGGAACUGCAUGGGAUACUGGGUAUCUAGAAUACAGUAGAGGGUAGUGGAAUUUCAGGUGUGGCGGUGAAAUGCGUAGAGAUCUGAAGGAACAUCAGUGGCGAAGGCGACUACCUGGACUGAUAUUGACGCUGAGGUGCGAAAGCGUGGGAGCAAACGGGAUUAGAAACCCUAGUAGUCC
rnacentral:rRNA from 1 species